rnacentral:lncRNA from 1 species
AUAAAAGAACAACGAUUGAUCCUUUUUGGUUCAUCUAAUUACUAUUUCUCUUGGUAAUUUCAUGUAUGAUUACAAAUUACUCAAUUCAGUUUCACGAUUAGAUUAAAUAAAAAAUGAUUAUGCCCAAUGUCUUGGUAACAUAAUCCUCUCUCUUGAUCAUCGAUUCCUAAUGUCUUAGGUAAUCUAUGAUCAAUUGAGGUUUACAAACUUUAAUCUUUUAAUCUCAGUUAACAAUCCGAAAUGUCUUAAGUGAAAGUUAAUUGAUUAAUCAUUCCUAGAUCGAUCAUUCAUUCCUAUCAUCAUAUUAAAACAAAUAAUUGAAAUCAUUACACAAUUGAUCAAGUCAUGCAAAGCAUUAAGCACAAGAAAUAAUUGAAAAAACUAACUUCGUAAUUCAUUGAUCAUAUCAUAUGAUAAUCACAUUGUUUAAGAAAAAUAACAAUUAGAAUCCCCUAAGGACCAAUCAUGAAAUAACAAUUUAGCUUGGUCAAAGUUUGAUCUUUUCUAUUCACACCAGCCCAUACACUAGAACACUUAUAAUAAUAAUUUUUGCACUCAAGCACAAACAUGUUAAGUCGAACCAAGAAAAUAAAAGCUAUGCAAAAUAUUAUUUUUAUAGAGAAGAACACUUAAUUGACACAAUAAACCAAAAAUUGCAAUUUAUUUAAAAUGACUCUAAAUUAAACAUUAAACUAAUAAAAUGAUAUUAAAAACUUAAUUAAAAAGACUCUAAAAAUAGCGACGGAUGAAGACUCAUCA